UCAGAUUUUUCCAUACCACUACCACAUAGAGACUUUACUACAACCUCCAAAUCACCCUCAAAACAAGAUUGUUGGAAACCUGUUUCAGAAACCAAGACUACUGCUCUUCUUGCUACCAGUAGCUCCAAAGUCACAACUGAUGGUGGUUUCUUGAUUUUUUCAGACAAGGUAACCAUAACUUGACCUUCAGAAUUUCGGAUGACAACACCAAGGCCGGCUUCAUCUGAUUCAUCAAACAUAGCCCCGUCAUAAUUGGUCUUGAAACAAUCUGUGGGUGGGGGACGCCAAUGCUUUUGAGAGGGGAGUCUACUGCACGUGGAAAGACUUGCAUGAGCUCCCUGAGUCUUGAAGCUACAAAGAUAUUCCCGUGCGAAACCCGCAAUUCUAGCCAGCGGCAAAGAAGGUUCCUGGAGGCGGAUUUAUUUCUGUGGUGCCAUAUAGGGAUCCGGAUCCUCUCCAUUUCCCUUUGAAAUGGAGAGGGUCCAGUUCACGGUGGGGAUUUAUUUGAAAAUUAUCAAGGGCCAAAAACAUGCCACAUCAUUUAAAUGUAAACACCACACUUAACCCCAGUUAAACAUUUAAACUACUUUAACUCAGGUUAAACACUUAAACUAGAGGCACUCAACCGGACAAACCACUGAAAAUGUUUCAGACUCUCUUUCAAACUCUCUCUCACCAGACCCAUAUGAAAAUUUCAAACUCUCUUCUCCAAGGAUUUUCUCUCUGCAUUCCACGGUCCUCAGUGUUGCUGGUGCCACCAGCCAUCGUGCCAAGCCACUUUGUUGCGUGGGCUAUGUCUCACACCAACCUAGCAUCAGCGGAAAGUGCCGCCCACUUGCAGGCAUAGGCACUACCCAGCAUCACCGGACUGCUCCGCUAGAACAGUCACUGCCCAAACCAUGUACUCUUCGAGAGGAAGCAAUGCGUUUGGGCAGCAAUCGUAUGCGGCUCAAUCGGCUGCGUAUGGCGCUAGUAAAAUGAGUUGAAGCAGCUAGCAGCCAUCUAUUAAAAGUCUGAAGAGAAGGGUACAGAGCAGUGGUGACAUAAUCAAGCUCAUCCUUGCACCCCCUCCUUCGUGGUAGAUGGAAUAUGGAAUUUAAGAAACAGAGCUGUUUUCCAAGGCGAGAAAGUUAACAUCUGUGAAGCCUGCUUGUGGAUUCAAAGCAGAAUCAUAGAGUUCCGUACUUUAAUCCAGGCAGCCAACGAAGCUCAUUGCGCAUCUUCAUCCCAGGUUUGGAAGCCACCCUUGACUAGGUCCAUCAAGCUAAAUGUGGAUGCUGCAACUGGACCAUCAAGAACUGCACUAGCAGUUGUAGCAAGGAACUCCCUUGGCGAGGUGAUCAAAGUUUGGGCUAAUCCUCACCAUAGCUGCACCCCCAUCCAAGCAGAAGCAAGUGCAAGGCAGUCAACCUAGCCUCUAAUGAAGGGCGGAAACAAGUAAUCAUAGAGAGCGAUUCCAAGAUGUGUAUGGAUUCACUGUCUGACAAUCCUUUUGUGCCUAACUGGGCCAUUAGCAAUGAUAUUGUUAAUA